UACGUAGGGUGCAAGCGUUAAUCGGAAUUACUGGGCGUAAAGCGUGCGCAGGCGGUGAUGUAAGACAGAUGUGAAAUCCCCGGGCUCGACCUGGGAACUGCAUUUGUGACUGCAUCGCUGGAGUACGGCAGAGGGGGAUGGAAUUCCGCGUGUAGCAGUGAAAUGCGUAGAUAUGCGGAGGAACACCGAUGGCGAAGGCAAUCCCCUGGGCCUGUACUGACGCUCAUGCACGAAAGCGUGGGGAGCAAACGGG
rnacentral:rRNA from 1 species